rnacentral:lncRNA from 1 species
CGCUGAACCAUUACCAAUCCUCAACCCUUCGUAGCCUUCCUCUCUCCUUUCAUCUUCCUUUCUGAUGGUUGCUAUGCCACCAUAGCCAAGCGCUACCAUCUUGGCAUGGCCAAAAGCUCUUAUUAUCCCACUCUUCUUCCUACUGAAAACCACCAUUUACGAUUGAGAUCCGCUGCCUUCACCACUUGCUAGUGAGCACCUCAUCUUUUUCAUGGCUCCUUUGGCUAAGAGAGUUGCCAUCGAGGAAACUAGGGUUGCUAUCUCUUUCUCCCUUGCUCUAUUUUCUCUAUGCAUGCAGCUAGGGC